UACGUAGGGUGCAAGCGUUAAUCGGAAUUACUGGGCGUAAAGCGUGCGCAGGCGGUUAUGCAAGACAGAUGUGAAAUCCCCGGGCUCAACCUGGGAACUGCAUUUGUGACUGCAUGGCUAGAGUACGGUAGAGGGGGAUGGAAUUCCGCGUGUAGCAGUGAAAUGCGUAGAUAUGCGGAGGAACACCGAUGGCGAAGGCAAUCCCCUGGACCUGUACUGACGCUCAUGCACGAAAGCGUGGGGAGCAGACAGG
rnacentral:rRNA from 1 species